rnacentral:rRNA from 1 species
AUUACCUCAGUAACGGCGAGUGAAGCGGUAACAGCUCAAAUUUGAAAUCUGGCUUCUUCGGAGCCCGAGUUGUAAUUUGUAGAAGAUGCUUUGGGCGUGGCUCCGGUCUAAGUCUCUUGGAACAGAGCGUCAUAGAGGGUGAGAAUCCCGUAUGUGACUGGGUGCCUUCGUCCGUGUAAAGCUCUUUCGACGAGUCGAGUUGUUUGGGAAUGCAGCUCAAAAUGGGUGGUAAAUUUCAUCUAAAGCUAAAUAUUGGCCAGAGACCGAUAGCGCACAAGUAGAGUGAUCGAAAGAUGAAAAGCACUUUGGAAAGAGAGUUAAACAGUACGUGAAAUUGUUGAAAGGGAAGCGCUUGCAACCAGACUUGCAUGUGGUUGAUCAUCCGAGGUUUUCCCCGGUGCACUCGAUCACGUUCAGGCCAGCAUCGGUUUGGGUGGUUGGAUAAAGGCCUUGGGAAUGUGGCUCCUCUCGGGGAGUGUUAUAGCCCUCGGUGCAAUGCAGCCUAUCCGGACCGAGGACCGCGCUUCGGCUAGGAUGCUGGCGUAAUGGUUGUAAGCGACCCGUCUUGAAACACGGACCAAGGAGUCUAACAUCUAUGCGAGUGUUUGGGUGUCAAACCCAUACGCGUAAUGAAAGUGAACGGAGGUGAGAACCCUUAAGGGUGCAUCAUCGACCGAUCCUGAUGUCUUCGGAUGGAUUUGAGUAAGAGCAUAGCUGUUGGGACCCGAAAGAUGGUGAACUAUGCCUGAAUAGGGUGAAGCCAGAGGAAACUCUGGUGGAGGCUCGCAGCGGUUCUGACGUGCAAAUCGAUCGUCAAAUUUGGGGUAUAGGGGCGAAGACUAAUCGAACAUCUAGUA